rnacentral:rRNA from 1 species
UACAUAGGGUGCAAGCGUUAAUCGGAAUUACUGGGCGUAAAGCGUGCGCAGGCGGUGAUGUAAGACAGGUGUGAAAUCCCCGGGCUUAACCUGGGAACUGCAUUUGUGACUGCAUCGCUGGAGUGCGGCAGAGGGGGAUGGAAUUCCGCGUGUAGCAGUGAAAUGCGUAGAUAUGCGGAGGAACACCGAUGGCGAAGGCAAUCCCCUGGGCCUGCACUGACGCUCAUGCACGAAAGCGUGGGGAGCAAACAGG